rnacentral:RNase_MRP_RNA from 2 species
CUGCGUGGCAAAGGAUUGCAUAACGAGGUCUACAUACGAAAGGCACAUCUUGUGUGUGUCUUGUCUACCAUCCCUCAUGGGCAAGUCCUCGGACACAACCAGUGGAAACACACCAUCAUAAUGUUGCUUUAUGGUUCAAUUUGGACAGCUGCAUAACCUCCCUCGACUGUGCUUCGGCGCUUCACUCAUGACGCACACAAUGCACUUGAGCCUCAUGGGUCUGGAGCUGGCUGCUUGCUUUGCCGGCGAAGAUACGAGCCUUGCUGGGCCAUGUUCAAAUUCCGUGAGUGUGGCCUGCAAAGUUGCCAGGUGUGCGUUUGAAGCACAGUCAAAUGGGGGAGGGGCGUCCAUUUGUCUUCUUCCGUCACAGAAUGAUAGUCAUGCAAUCGUCCGUCCAACUGGCGGAUAACACAAUGAGGCUUACUCUUGUUGCGCA